CGUAGGUGAACCUGCGGAAGGAUCAUUAUUGUAUAACCGAGGUGCGAGGGCUGUCGCUGACCCGAAAGGUCGUGCACGCCCGAGUGCCCUCACACACAUCCAUCUCACCCCUAUGUGCACCACCGCGUGGGUCCCCCUUUGGCUUGUUCGGAGGGGGGCUUACGUUUUCACACAAACUUUGUAUGCAGUGUAGAAUGUAUUUUUAGUUUUUGCGAUCACGCAAUCAAUACAACUUUCAACAACGGAUCUCUUGGCUCUC
rnacentral:misc_RNA from 1 species